rnacentral:rRNA from 1 species
GAUGAACGCUGGCGGUAUGCUUAACACAUGCAAGUCGAACGGACUCUUCGGAGUUAGUGGCGGACGGGUGAGUAACGCGUGAGAAUCUGGCUUUGGGUUCGGGACAACCACUGGAAACGGUGGCUAAUACCGGAUGUGCCGAGAGGUAAAAGAGAAAUUGCCUGAAGAUGAGCUCGCGUCUGAUUAGCUAGUUGGUGAGGUAAAGGCUCACCAAGGCAGCGAUCAGUAGCUGGUCUGAGAGGUUGACCAGCCACACUGGGACUGAGACACGGCCCAGACUCCUACGGGAGGCAGCAGUGGGGAAUUGUCCGCAAUGGGCGAAAGCCUGACGGAGCAAUACCGCGUGAGGGAAGAAGGCUCUUGGGUUGUAAACCUCUUUUCUUAGGGAAGAACAAAAUGACGGUACCUAAGGAAUCAGCAUCGGCUAACUCCGUG